CGAUCGGGAGUAGCAAUACUUGCCGGCGACCGGCGCAAGGGUGCGUAACGCGUGAGCAACAUGCCCGUAUCAGGGGGAUAAUCCAUGGAAACGUGGUCUAAUACCCCAUAGUAAUUAUGUAAGGCAUCUUAUAUAAUUUAAAGCUUUGGUGGAUACGGAUUGGCUCGCGUGACAUUAGCUGGAUGGUAAGGUAACGGCUUACCAUGGCUACGAUGUCUAGGGGUUCUGAGAGGAAGGUCCCCCCACACUGGAACUGAGACACGGUCCAGACUCCUACGGGAGGCAGCAGUGAGGAAUAUUGGACAAUGGAUGGAAAUCUGAUCCAGCCAUGCCGCGUGCAGGAAAGACGGCCCUAUGGGUUGUAAACUGCUUUUGUAUGGGAGCAAUAAGGGCUACGUGUAGUCCGAUGAGAGUACCAUACGAAUAAGCACCGGCUAACUCCGUGCCAGCAGCUGC
rnacentral:rRNA from 1 species